GCAUUGGUGGUUUGAUGGUAGAAUUCUCACUUCUCAUGCAGGAGACCCAGGUUAGAUUCCUGGCCAACACA
rnacentral:tRNA from 1 species